AAGAGUUAUUGCCUGAGUAGGGGAGUGGUGUGAACAAUGUCUGAUGCUACUUGCUAUGGGUUUUUUUGUGUCUUUAUUUCAGUAAUUUUAUAUAUAUAAUAUAAUACAUGUGCAGAUCUCCUCACUUGUGUUGCUAGCUUCUAGCUGGCCUUACAUCUUUUCAUGAGUCUGUCCACAAGAGCAACAAGAAUUUUUCAGCUGCCUGUGUGCUAAUAGAACAGUGCUAUGACUAGCUGGACCUGGUUCAAACACUCGUGCUAUUUUGACGAUAUUUAUGGAUCAGAAGAAUAUGAUUUCCAUGGCAACUGCUCCAGGUUUUGAGCAAAUAUCAGCUUUGAAGGUCCAUGGGUGUUCAUGACAUCAGUCCUUCCUGCAUCCACUGAGAUAAAAGCACAGCUGCUUCAGUGAAGUGCUGAAGAACUAGAGAAUACAACUACAUCUUCUAACUACACAGUGGAAGAGGAGAUAAUCAAGACACUUCUCCACUUCUGCAGCGGGCACUGAACAUGUUCCAUUUCAAGCAUAGAAGAUUGGCCCUGCAAAAAAAAA
rnacentral:lncRNA from 1 species